rnacentral:lncRNA from 1 species
GGAACUCCUAAGUUGUCAGAUUUUUCAUCUCUUAAAAUGAUGCUUUGUGUCUUUCGUAUGUUUUAUAUGAUGUUUUCUAGUUUCUGGUUCCAUUUUAUUUGUACUUUAAUCUUUGUUAUGCUCUGGAACAUUUUCUCUACUUUAAGUUCCAUUCCCUCUAUUUAACUGUUAAAAAUGUAUUCUAUUAGAAAAGCUUUUGCUUAAGAGCCUUUUCCGUUUUCUUACCUUUUUCAUGGCAUUCUGUUGUUACGGAUGGAAUAAGAUCUUGAAUUUCUCUGAGAAUAUAGAAUAGAGAUUUUAAAACCUUCUCUUCUCUGAACUAUCUGUUUCCUCUGGUGUCAGUUUUUUCUCUUUUCUUUCUCUUUCAUGUUGCAGGCUUUCCUCAAAUGUCUGAUGCUUCUUUGAAAUGUAAAGCAAUUCAGAAGCUGGCAAGCAGUGUUAUUUACAGAAGCAGGGCUUGGCAAAAGCAAGUCUUCCCUUACGCCAGAGGGAGCAGGAAGCUGGUUUUACCCCCAAUGACUUCUCAAAUGCCCAAAGCAGAAGCACCUACACUACCUCCCUCUUCCCAGACAGUGACAGCUGGAGCCCUGGUGACCCUCUUCCAAGACCCCUUGAGAACGGAGGGCCUUCAUGGGACAACCCUCAGACUCAGCUGCUCCACGGGGUCGUGAAGAGCUGGACACGACUGAGUGACUCAACAACAAUAGCCCUUCCCCGGGACAAGGUGCUUUCUUCCGAAUCACAGCUUGAGGCUGAAAUAGAGGCUGGAGCAGGGUGCCUUCGGGGCGUGUCAACAGACACAAGCUCCCUGGCUAAUGGGGUAACAGCAGGUGUGUGUGUGUGUGUGUGUGGUUUAGAUCACAGCCAGAAAGCAGCGUCAGGGUCCUUAAGGCAGUCAGCCUUCACCUGGCCCUUCCAGCGGUUCUUUCCAGCUGGAAGAGCCUCAGCAGGCUCCCGUGUCUGUUCUGGAAGCAGCUGCCAUCACACUUCUGUCCCCAGAAAAGAAGCCUGUACGUCCUGCCCCAGGGGUUAGCAGCUUUCCUACCUGGGCCUUGUGCCAAUGCCUGGAAAGCAGGCGCAUUCCACUCUGUCAUUUUUUUUUCCUUCUGACUUUUGCUGCCUUACCAUUGCGGCC